UACGGAGGGUGCAAGCGUUAUCCGGAUUCACUGGGUUUAAAGGGUGCGUAGGCGGGUAGGUAAGUCCGUGGUGAAAUCUCUGAGCUUAACUCAGAAACUGCCGUGGAUACUAUUUGCCUUGAAUAUUGUGGAGGUGAGCGGAAUAUGUCAUGUAGCGGUGAAAUGCUUAGAUAUGACAUAGAACACCAAUUGCGAAGGCAGCUCACUACACAAUUAUUGACGCUGAGGCACGAAAGCGUGGGGAUCAAACAGG
rnacentral:rRNA from 1 species